CUAAUGAUAUAUUUAAAUAACUGUCUAUCAAAAUAUUUAAACAAAAGAAGAAUGAUAUUUAAAUAACUGUCUAUCAAAAAUAAACGAAACUUGCUCCCCAAGGAUUUUGAGGAACGGAAUCUUCGUUCUUCAAACUACCAAAUCCCUUUUUAUAUAUUCAAGUUCCGAGUAACGAUGCCAAAAAUCAGGACCCAUACACAUUUAUACAAACUCCCAAUUACCUCAAAUCCCCGUCGCUUUAUUCGUUGCAACUUCAUUUCAUUUGAUUUUUCUGUUUUUAGACGAAUCCAUGGACUGGUGUUCUCACUGUCUCGAGGUUUGUACAAUCCAAAUCGAUGGCAAUUUCAGAUGUUGCUCAACAUGUGGAAAAGUGCUUGCACAAAGUUCUACCGCCAAAUCACCGAACUUAAAGCUCAUAAAAAAAAAAUUUAAAAGAAACUUCAUUUCUCAUCAGAAGAAAAUUAGGAAAGAACUUCUUAAAUUAGCACAACUCUCUAAUACGACUUAGAUUUUCAUUUCCCAAUUCAACCACAUUUCCAAAUAAUUAUCUUUAUUCAUUUGUUUAUUUUUUCUUAUCGUCAUCCUUUAGCAAUUCAUUCUCGGAAGGAAAAUGGAAAGUAGUAUGUGAAUGUGUACUCAGAUGGCCACAAUUAGGCUUUAUGAAGAAGGUAAAUAAAUAAAUAUUAAUUGAAGUUCAAAGCUCUA